CCUGGCGGCACUAGCGCGGUGGUCCCACCUGACCCCAUGCCGAACUCAGAAGUGAAACGCCGUAGCGCCGAUGGUAGUGUGGGGUCUCCCCAUGUGAGAGUAGGGAACUGCCAGGCAU
rnacentral:rRNA from 1 species